rnacentral:rRNA from 1 species
GAUGAACGCUGGCGGCGUGCCUAAUACAUGCAAGUCGAACGAGUUCUCGUUGAUGAUCGGUGCUUGCACCGAGAUUCAACAUAGAACGAGUGGCGGACGGGUGAGUAACACGUGGGUAACCUGCUCUUAAGUGGGGGAUAACAUUUGGAAACAGAUGCUAAUACCGCAUAGAUCCAAGAACCGCAUGGUUCUUGGCUGAAAGAUGGCGUAAGCUAUCGCUUUUGGAUGGACCCGCGGCGUAUUAGCUAGUUGGUGAGGUAACGGCUCACCAAGGCGAUGAUACGUAGCCGAACUGAGAGGUUGAUCGGCCACAUUGGGACUGAGACACGGCCCAAACUCCUACGGGAGGCAGCAGUAGGGAAUCUUCCACAAUGGACGCAAGUCUGAUGGAGCAACGCCGCGUGAGUGAAGAAGGCUUUCGGGUCGUAAAACUCUGUUGUUGGAGAAGAAUGGUCGGCAGAGUAACUGUUGUCGGCGUGACGGUAUCCAACCAGAAAGCCACGGCUAACUAC